AUACGGAGGGUGCAAGCGUUGUCCGGAAUCAUUGGGUGUAAAGGGUGCGUAGGCUGGCGCCUAAGUCUGAGGUGAAAUCUUGCCGCUUAACGGUAAAAUGGCCUUGGAUACUGGGUGUCUUGAAUCUGACAGAGGUCGGUGGAAUUCGUAGUGUAGCGGUGAAAUGCAUAGAUAUUACGAAGAACACCAGUGGCGAAGGCGGCCGGCUGGGUCAGUAUUGACGCUGAGGCACGAGAGCGUGGGGAGCGAACAGGAUUAGAUACCCUGGUAGUCCACGCUGUAAACGAUGUAUGCUAGUUGUUGGGCCUAUGGGUUCAGUGACGCAGUUAACGCAGUAAGCAUACCACCUGGGGAGUACGUUCGCAAGAAUGAA
rnacentral:rRNA from 1 species